GCGGGGAUGGCGAAAUGGUAAACGCAGCGGCCUUAAAAGCCGCCGCCCUCCGGCUUGCGGGUUCGAGUCCCGCUCCCCGCA
rnacentral:tRNA from 1 species